rnacentral:misc_RNA from 1 species
ACAAAUCCACAUCUGUGUGUCCCUGUGGGGCGCACUGAGUCCGGCGGGAGGGCGGGCAGCUGCCCUCUUGCCGCAUAGUGUAGUGUAGUGUGUGUAGCACAUGGCAGUAGCAUUGUGCUGUACUCUAUUAUACGUCACGUAUGGUAUGUCACAUAUAAGUGUGUAGUUGACUAAUUGCGGGGAACAAUGUGAUAGA